rnacentral:rRNA from 1 species
CACGCUGUAAACGAUGUCGAUUUGGAGUCUGUGCCAUUAUGAGCGUGGGUUCCGAAGCUAACGCGAUAAAUCGACCGCCUGGGGAGUACGGCCGCAAGGUUAAAACUCAAAUGAAUUGACGGGGGCCCGCACAAGCGGUGGAGCAUGUGGUUUAAUUCGAUGCAACGCGAAGAACCUUACCUGGCCUUGACAUGCUGAGAAGUCUGUAGAGAUACGGAUGUGCCUUCGGGAACUCAGACACAGGUGC